rnacentral:rRNA from 1 species
GAUGAACGCUGGCGGCGUGCCUAAUACAUGCAAGUCGAGCGAAUAGACGAGGAGCUUGCUCCUCUGACGUUAGCGGCGGACGGGUGAGUAACACGUGGAUAACCUACCUAUAAGACUGGGAUAACUUCGGGAAACCGGAGCUAAUACCGGAUAAUAUAUUGAACCGCAUGGUUCAAUAGUGAAAGACGGUUUUGCUGUCACUUAUAGAUGGAUCCGCGCCGCAUUAGCUAGUUGGUAAGGUAACGGCUUACCAAGGCAACGAUGCGUAGCCGACCUGAGAGGGUGAUCGGCCACACUGGAACUGAGACACGGUCCAGACUCCUACGGGAGGCAGCAGUAGGGAAUCUUCCGCAAUGGGCGAAAGCUUGACGGAGCAACGCCGCGUGAGUGAUGAAGGUCUUCGGAUCGUAAAACUCUGUUAUUAGGGAAGAACAAAUGUGUAAGUAACGAUGCACGUCUUGACGGUACCUAAUCAGAAAGCCACGGCUAACUACGU